rnacentral:rRNA from 1 species
CCGACGGUGAGGGGUGAAAGCUGGGGAGCAAACCGGAUUAGAUACCCGGGUAGUCCCAGCCGUAAACGAUGUGCGUUAGGUGUAUCGGUGACCACGAGUCACCGAGGUGCCGAAGAGAAAUCGUGAAACGUACCGCCUGGGAAGUACGGUCGCAAGGCUGAAACUUAAGGAAUUGGCGGGGAGCACCACAACAGGUGGAGCCUGCGGUUUAAUCGGACUCAACGCCGGGAAACUCACCAGAUAAGACAGCUGAAUGAUAGUCGGGCUGAAGACUCUACUUGACUAGCUGAGAGGAGGUGCAUGGCCGUCGUCAGUUCGUACUGUGAAGCAUCCUGUUAAGUCAGGCAACGAGCGAGACCCACGCCAACAGUUGCUAGC